rnacentral:lncRNA from 1 species
CUCUCCACCUCCCCAAUGGGACAUACGGUCUUGUUUUCUUGCACAGGAAAAUAAAAGCUGUCCUCCCGGUAUAUCGAGUACCACACCAUGACCAGAAACAGCGCCAGCACUCCCAGUAUCUUCCCUCGGGACUUAUUGAUCAUCUUUAUCAGCAGGGCAGGCAUCAGCCGAGGGCCGGAGCUCUCAUCGCAGCCACUGCCGCUCACAGUUCUUCCACGUGGUGCGAGCAGAGGGGGCAGCAGCUCCGGGGGCUGCGGGGCUAUGGGGCCAUCCUCAAUUCUUCCGUCCCGCUGGUGGCUGCGUUUCCCUUUGCUCAUUUUCCGCCCAUCUUUAAUUCAUUGACCAUUCGUUCCUCCCCGGCUCGAUCAGGGCGGGCUGCUCCUGGAAGGCGCUCUCUGUCCUCAUGGCGAAUCGAGUCGCUUUCAUGGGGCGGCCGGGGGUGCGGGCUCGGAGCGGGCAGGGCCGGGCAGCGGGGCUGAGCGGGGCGGGG